rnacentral:rRNA from 1 species
AACGAUGACGGAGAGCUUGCUCUUCUGAUUAGUGGCGAACGGGUGAGUAACACGUGAGUAACCUGCCCUUGACUCUGGGAUAAGCACUGGAAACGGUGUCUAAUACCGGAUACGAGCCUCCUCCGCAUGGUGAGGGGCUGGAAAGAAUUUCGGUCAAGGAUGGACUCGCGGCCUAUCAGCUAGUUGGUGAGGUAACGGCCCACCAAGGCGACGACGGGUAGCCGGCCUGAGAGGGUGACCGGCCACACUGGGACUGAGACACGGCCCAGACUCCUACGGGAGGCAGCAGUGGGGAAUAUUGCACAAUGGGCGCAAGCCUGAUGCAGCAACGCCGCGUGAGGGACGACGGCCUUCGGGUUGUAAACCUCUUUUAGUAGGGAAGAAGCGAAAGUGACGGUACCUGCAGAAAAAGCACCGGCUAACUACGUGCCAGCAGCCGCGGUAAUACGUAGGGUGCAAGCGUUGUCCGGAAUUAUUGGGCGUAAAGAGCUCGUAGGCGGUUUGUCGCGUCUGCUGUGAAAACCCGAGGCUCAACCUCGGGCCUGCAGUGGGUACGGGCAGACUAGAGUGCGGUAGGGGAGAUUGGAAUUCCUGGUGUAGCGGUGGAAUGCGCAGAUAUCAGGAGGAACACCGAUGGCGAAGGCAGAUCUCUGGGCCGUAACUGACGCU